UGCUCGCCGAAUAAUAUAAAUAAAUUUAAU
rnacentral:sRNA from 1 species